rnacentral:rRNA from 1 species
GACGAACGCUGGCGGCGUGCCUAACACAUGCAAGUCGAGCGGAGAUAUGAUGAAGCUUGCUUUUGAAUAUCUUAGCGGCGGACGGGUGAGUAACACGUGGGCAACCUGCCUCAGAGUGGGGGAUAACACCGAGAAAUCGGUGCUAAUACCGCAUAACAUACAUUGACUGCAUGGUCGAUGUAUCAAAGGAGUAAUCCGCUUUGAGAUGGGCCCGCGGCUGAUUAGCUAGUUGGUGAGGUAAUGGCUCACCAAGGCGACGAUCAGUAGCCGACCUGAGAGGGUGACCGGCCACACUGGAACUGAGACACGGUCCAGACUCCUACGGGUGGCUG